rnacentral:rRNA from 1 species
UACGUAGGGUACGAGCGUUGUCCGGAAUUAUUGGGCGUAAAGAGCUCGUAGGUGGUUGGUCACGUCUGCUGUGGAAACGCAACGCUUAACGUUGCGCGGGCAGUGGGUACGGGCUGACUAGAGUGCAGUAGGGGAGUCUGGAAUUCCUGGUGUAGCGGUGAAAUGCGCAGAUAUCAGGAGGAACACCGGUGGCGAAGGCGGGACUCUGGGCUGUAACUGACACUGAGGAGCGAAGGCUCGGGUAGCGAUAAGG